UCAAAUAAUCACUUUCUCUGGGGGUUCAGU
rnacentral:piRNA from 1 species